rnacentral:rRNA from 1 species
UACGAAGGGGGCUAGCGUUGUUCGGAAUCACUGGGCGUAAAGGGCGCGUAGGCGGCUUUAUAAGUCGGGGGUGAAAGCCUGUGGCUCAACCACAGAAUUGCCUUCGAUACUGUAGAGCUUGAGACCGGAAGAGGUAAGUGGAACUGCGAAUGUAGAGGUGAAAUUCGUAGAUAUUCGCAAGAACACCAGUGGCGAAGGCGGGUUACUGGUCCGGUUCUGACGCUGAGGCGCGAAAGCUAGGGGAGCAAACGGG